rnacentral:rRNA from 1 species
ACUCCUACGGGAGGCAGCAGUGGGGAAUAUUGCACAAUGGGGGAAACCCUGAUGCAGCCAUGCCGCGUGUGUGAAGAAGGCCUUCGGGUUGUAAAGCACUUUCAGUAGGGAGGAAGGUAGUGUAGUUAACACCUGCAUUAUUUGACGUUACCUACAGAAGAAGCACCGGCUAACUCCGUGCCAGCAGCCGCGGUAAUACGGAGGGUGCGAGCGUUAAUCGGAAUUACUGGGCGUAAAGCGCAUGCAGGCGGCCUGUUAAGUCAGAUGUGAAAGCCCGGGGGCUUAAACCUCGGAAUUGCAUUUGAAACUGGCAGGCUAGAGUCUUGGUAGAGGGGGGUUAGAAUUUCAGGUGUAGCGGUGAAAUGGCGUAGAGAUCUGAAGGAAUACCAGUGGCGAAGGCGGCCCCCUGGACAAAGACUGACGCUCAGAUGCGAAAGCGUGGGGAGCAAAACGAGGAUUAGAUACCCUGGUA